rnacentral:rRNA from 1 species
GGUUAAGUUAAUAAGGGCGCACGGUGGAUGCCUUGGCACUAGGAGCCGAAGAAGGACGGCACUAACACCGAUAUGCCUCGGGGAGCUGUAAGUGAGCUGUGAUCCGGGGAUUUCCGAAUGGGGAAACCCACUGUUCGUAAUGGAGCAGUAUCCAUGUGUGAAUACAUAGCACAUGAGAAGGCAGACUCAGGGAACUGAAACAUCUAAGUACCUGAAGGAAGAGAAAGCAAAUGCGAUUCCCCAAGUAGCGGCGAGCGAAACGGGAUCAGCCCAAACCAGAAGGCUUGCCUUCUGGGGUUGUAGGACACUCUAUACGGAGUUACAAAGGAACGGAUUAAGCGAAGCGACCUGGAACGGUCCGCAAGAUAGGGUAAUAGCCCCGUAGCUGAAAGUUCGUUCCCUCCAGAGUGGAUCCUGAGUACGGCGGAACACGAGAAAUUCCGUCGGAAUCCGGGAGGACCAUCUCCCAAGGCUAAAUACUCCCUAGUGACCGAUAGUGAACCAGUACCGUGAGGGAAAGGUGAAAAGCACCCCGGAAGGGGAGUGAAAUAGAUCCUGAAACCGUGUGCCUACAAGUAGUUAGAGCCCGUUAAUGGGUGAUAGCGUGCCUUUUGUAGAAUGAACCGGCGAGUUACGAUUGCAUGCAAGGUUAAGGUGAGAAGCCGGAGCCGCAGCGAAAGCGAGUCUGAAUAGGGCGAGUGAGUAUGUAGUUGUAGACCCGAAACCAGGUGAUCUACCC